GCUGGGCCAAGUGGUGUGCGCCUGUAAUCCCAUCAGCUUGGGAGACUGAGGCAGGAGGAUAGCAGGUUCAAAGCCAGCCUCAGCAACAGAGAGAUGCUAAGCAACUCAGUAAGACCCUGUCUCUA
rnacentral:sRNA from 1 species